GCUUAUAGAGAGAUAUUGGACGCGAAAGAGAAAGCGUAGAAACGCAGAAAGAUGAGGAAAUUCGAUCCAUGGCCUGUGUUCUUCAAGCGAGAAUGGAAGAGAAACUGGCCUUUCCUAGUUGGAUUCGGAGUCACCGGAGCAGUGAUUACCAAGUUAUCACUUGGUUUCACUGAGGAGGAUGCUAAAAAUUCAAAAUUCGUUCAAGCGCAUAAGAGGUGACUUCUGAAGGGAAGGAUGGCUCUAGCUUUGCACGUCGAAUUAGAUGUAACAAGAGAGCUUUGCUUGGUUUAGUUUUACAAAUUGAAAUAACUGAAGGGAGAUAUUUUGUAUACUCUUCAUGUUCCUUUCCCCAAAUUUCGUUUUUACAUAAAUGUUCUUGAUAAAUUCAUACUUUGAAGUUCUGUUCUAAAUCAUUAGAUUCAUGUGUUUCAUCAUGAGAUGUCUUUUGUUUUGGACUUUAACCUAGACAUGGUCUUUAACUA